rnacentral:rRNA from 1 species
CAGAUUUGAUUCUGGUUUCACUUAUAGGAUUGCCGUUGAUGAUACAUGCUAAUCGUACUACCCUAGUGAGAGUAAUAAAAAUAUAAUCAAGUUUAAUACAUUGUCUAUAUAAGUAGAGUAUUUAACCUAUUCUAUGCUCCGUUUUUACCACUCCAUACCGGCCUUCAAGCAGUACUUAAUAUUAACCAAGAUGCGUAAGCAUGCCUCAGCUAACGGCAUAAAUAUAUGGCAAAUAACGUGCCAGCCGCCGCGGUUACACCAAAAAUGUAAACUUAUAAAUUACACUAGGUGCUUAUUCUUGAAUUAAAUCGAUCAUUACCUAAAAUUUGUGGUCAAAUAUACUUACGAAGAAAUUAUCAAUUACUUUAAGCACACGAGACGAAGGUAAAAACCAGGAUUAGAGACCCUGUUAUUCUUCAGUAGUUAACACUAGGCUACUAUUAAUAUCGUUUGAAAACCAAAGAUUUUGGCAGUGAUUAAAGUCUAUUCAGAGGAAUUUGUUUCAUGAAAUCGAUACUCCGCGACCAUCUUACUUCCCUUCGCUUUCAGCUUAUAUACCGCCGUCGUCAGCUGAUAUUGAAAAAUAAUACACAUCAGCGAAAAGAUCAAUUCUUCACGUCAGGUCAGGGUGUAGCCAAUAGGGAAGAUGGAAUGAAUUACAAUUAAUUAUAAUUAACGGAUUCUAGUACGUAAUAGCUAGAUGAAGCUGGAUUUGAUUGUAACUUCAUAUAAUUAUGAUAACUUGACUAUAGCUCUUAGUCAUGCACACACCGCCCGUCAUUUUCCUUAAAAAAUAAAGGAAAGAAGUCGUAACAAGGUAGGGCAUCUGGAAAGAUCCCCUGGGAAAUG